UGACCAGCUGGUACCUCCUCUUGGACUGU
rnacentral:piRNA from 1 species